rnacentral:rRNA from 1 species
GAUGAACGCUGGCGGCGUGCUUAAUACAUGCAAGUCGAACGAAGUUUGUAGCAAUACAUUCUUAGUGGCGAACGGGUGAGUAACGCGUUGGUGACCUGCCCCGAAGGAGGGGGAUAACAGUACCGAAAGGACUGCUAACUACCCCAUGUGACUUCCCCGGUUUAGAAUCUGGUGAUUAAAGGCGAAAGUCGCUUCGGGAGGGGCCUGCGUCCCAUCAGCUAGUUGGUAGGGUAAUGGCCUACCAAGGCUAUGACGGGUAGGGGACCUGAGAGGGUGGCCCCCCACAAUGGAACUGAAACACGGUCCAUACACCUACGGGUGGCAGCAGUAGGGAAUAUUGGUAAUGGGCGAAAGCCUGAACCAGCAACGCCGCGUGUGCGAUGAAGGCCUUCGGGUCGUAAAGCACUUUUUGGAGGGAUGAGGAAGGACAGUACCUCCAGAAUAAGCCUCGGCUAACUACGUG